GAUGAAGAACGCAGCGAAAUGCGAUAAGUAGUGUGAAUUGCAGAAUUCAGUGAAUCAUCGAAUCUUUGAACGCACAUUGCGCCCCUUGGUAUUCCAUGGGGCAUGCCUGUUCGAGCGUCAUUUGUACCUUCAAGCUUUGCUUGGUGUUGGGUGUUUGUCUCGCCUUUGCGUGUAGACUCGCCUUAAAAUAAUUGGCAGCCGGCGUAUUGAUUUCGGAGCGCAGCACAUCUCGCGCUUUGCACUCAUAACGACAGCGUCCAAAAGUACAUUUUACACUCUUGACCUCGGAUCAGGUAGGGAUACCCGCUGAACUUAAGCAUAUCAAUAAGCGGAGGA
rnacentral:misc_RNA from 1 species